UACAGAGGGUGCGAGCGUUGUCCGGAAUCACUGGGCGUAAAGGGCGCGUAGGCGGCUUGAUAAGGUUGCGGUGAAAGCCCGGGGCUCAACCCCGGGUCGGCCGUGGCAACUGUCGAGCUGGAGCACUGUAGAGGCAGGUGGAAUUCCGGGUGUAGCGGUGGAAUGCGUAGAGAUCCGGAAGAACACCGGUGGCGAAAGGCGGCCGGCUGGGCUU
rnacentral:rRNA from 1 species